rnacentral:rRNA from 1 species
GAUGAACGCUGGCGGCGUGCCUAAUACAUGCAAGUCCAGCGAACGGACGAGAAGCUUGCUUCUCUGAUGUUAGCGGCGGACGGGUGAGUAACACGUGGAUAACCUACCUAUAAGACUGGGAUAACUUCGGGACACCGUAGCUAAUACCGGAUAAUAUUUUGAACCGCAUGGUUCAAAAGUGAAAGACGGUCUUGCUGUCACUUAUAGAUGCAUCCGCGCUGCAUUAGCUAGUUGGUAAGUUAACGGCUUACCAAGGCAACGAUGCAUAGCCGACCUGAGAGGGUGAUAGGCCACACUGGAACUGAGACACGGUCCAGACUCCUACGGGAGGCAGCAGUAGGGAAUCUUCCGCAAUGGGCGAAAGCCUGACGGAGCAACGCCGCGUGAGUGAUGAAGGUGUUCGGAUCGUAAAACUCUGUUAUUAGGGAAGAACAUAUGUGUAAGUAACUGUGCACAUCUUGACGGUACCUAAUCAGAAAGCCACGGCUAACUACGUG